rnacentral:rRNA from 1 species
UACGUAGGUGGCGAGCGUUGUCCGGAUUUAUUGGGUUUAAAGGGUGCGUAGGCGGUCUUUCAAGCCAGAAGUGAAAGGCUACGGCUCAACCGUAGUAAGCUUUUGGAACUGUAGGACUUGAGUGCAGGAGAGGAGAGUGGAAUUCCUAGUGUAGCGGUGAAAUGCGUAGAUAUUAGGAGGAACACCAGUAGCGAAGGCGGCUCUCUGGACUGUAACUGACGCUGAGGCACGAAAGCGUGGGGAGCAAACAGG